UACAGAGGUCCCAAGCGUUGUUCGGAUUCACUGGGCGUAAAGGGUGCGUAGGUGGCCAGGUAAGUUCGGUGUGAAAGCUCGGAGCUCAACUCCGAAAUGUCAUUGAAUACUAUCUGGCUGGAGGGUCGGAGGGGAGACUGGAAUUCUCGGUGUAGCAGUGAAAUGCGUAGAUAUCGAGAGGAACACCAGUGGCGAAGGCGAGUCUCUGGACGACUCCUGACACUGAGGCACGAAAAGCUAGGGGAGCAAACAGG
rnacentral:rRNA from 1 species